rnacentral:rRNA from 1 species
GGGCUAUGGACGUGCCACAUAUGUUUGUACAAAAGGAGGCGAAAGUGUGAACUUUAGCUAAUCCUUAAAACAGAAUAUAAAAUGGAUUGUAGUCUGUAACUCGACUGCAUAAAUAAGGAAUUACUAGUAAUCGUGAAUCACCACAUCACGGUGAAUUUAAUCUCAGAUAGGUACUAACCACUCGUCAGGCGCUGAAAGGAGUAUGCGCAAUAAGUUUGG